AUGUGGUUAGGAUUGUACGUUGUGAUUCUGGAGAAGGACGAGCUCGUUGCCGGUGGGACUCAUGAGUUUUCUGAUGAAGAUAAAAUGAAACGCGAGACUAAGCUGGAAUUCUCCCCGGAAGAAGAAGAUAUAGUUGCAAAAAUGUUUAGAUUGGUUGGAAAAAGAUGGCAUCUCAUUGCUGGAAGGAUUCCAGGAAGAAGCGCAGAAGAUAUUGAAAAAUAUUGGAACUCAAAGUUUUCUUCUUCAACUGCAUAA